AGAGUUUGAUCAUGGCUCAGAUUGAACGCUGGCGGCAGGCCUAACACAUGCAAGUCGAACGGUAACAGGAAACAGCUUGCUGUUUCGCUGACGAGUGGCGGACGGGUGAGUAAUGUCUGGGAAACUGCCUGAUGGAGGGGGAUAACUACUGGAAACGGUAGCUAAUACCGCAUAACGUCGCAAGACCAAAGAGGGGGACCCUCGGGCCUCUUGCCAUCGGAUGUGCCCAGAUGGGAUUAGCUUGUUGGUGGGGUAACGGCUCACCAAGGCGACGAUCCCUAGCUGGUCUGAGAGGAUGACCAGCCACACUGGAACUGAGACACGGUCCAGACUCCUACGGGAGGCAGCAGUGGGGAAUAUUGCACAAUGGGCGCAAGCCUGAUGCAGCCAUGCCGCGUGUAUGAAGAAGGCCUUCGGGUUGUAAAGUACUUUCAGCGGGGAGGAAGGGAGUAAAGUUAAUACCUUUGCUCAUUGACGUUACCCGCAGAAGAAGCACCGGCUAACUCCGUGCCAGCAGCCGCGGUAAUACGGAGGGUGCAAGCGUUAAUCGGAAUUACUGGGCGUAAAGCGCACGCAGGCGGUUUGUUAAGUCAGAUGUGAAAUCCCCGGGCUCAACCUGGGAACUGCAUCUGAUACUGGCAAGCUUGAGUCUCGUAGAGGGGGGGUAGAAUUCCAGGUGUAGCGGUGAAAUGCGUAGAGAUCUGGAGGAAUACCGGUGGCGAAGGCGGCCCCCUGGACGAAGACUGACGCUCAGGUGCGAAAGCGUGGGGAGCAAACAGGAUUAGAUACCCUGGUAGUCCACGCCGUAAACGAUGUCGACUUGGAGGUUGUGCCCUUGAGGCGUGGCUUCCGGAGCUAACGCGUUAAGUCGACCGCCUGGGGAGUACGGCCGCAAGGUUAAAACUCAAAUGAAUUGACGGGGGCCCGCACAAGCGGUGGAGCAUGUGGUUUAAUUCGAUGCAACGCGAAGAACCUUACCUGGUCUUGACAUCCACGGAAGUUUUCAGAGAUGAGAAUGUGCCUUCGGGAACCGUGAGACAGGUGCUGCAUGGCUGUCGUCAGCUCGUGUUGUGAAAUGUUGGGUUAAGUCCCGCAACGAGCGCAACCCUUAUCCUUUGUUGCCAGCGGUCCGGCCGGGAACUCAAAGGAGACUGCCAGUGAUAAACUGGAGGAAGGUGGGGAUGACGUCAAGUCAUCAUGGCCCUUACGACCAGGGCUACACACGUGCUACAAUGGCGCAUACAAAGAGAAGCGACCUCGCGAGAGCAAGCGGACCUCAUAAAGUGCGUCGUAGUCCGGAUUGGAGUCUGCAACUCGACUCCAUGAAGUCGGAAUCGCUAGUAAUCGUGGAUCAGAAUGCCACGGUGAAUACGUUCCCGGGCCUUGUACACACCGCCCGUCACACCAUGGGAGUGGGUUGCAAAAGAAGUAGGUAGCUUAACCUUCGGGAGGGCGCUUACCACUUUGUGAUUCAUGACUGGGGUGAAGUCGAAACAAGGUAACCGUAGGGGAACCUGCGGUUG
rnacentral:rRNA from 1 species